rnacentral:rRNA from 1 species
AGAGACAGCAGUAGCCGCGGUAAUGCGUAGGUGGCAAGCGUUGUCCGGAAUUAUUGGGCGUAAAGGGCUCGCAGGCGGUUUCUUAAGUCUGAUGUGAAAGCCCCCGGCUCAGCCGGGGAGGGCCAUUGGAAACUGGGAAACUUGAGUGCAGAAGAGGAGAGUGGAAUUCCACGUGUAGCGGUGAAAUGCGUAGAGAUGUGGAGGAACACCAGUGGCGAAGGCGACUCUCUGGUCUGUAGCUGACGCUGAGGAGCGAAAGCGUGGGGAGCGAACAGGAUUAGAUACCCCGGUAGUCCCUGUCUCUUAUAC